GAAUGGCCGUCUGCGUCUGGCGGCUGACCCUUAGGACUGUUAGCUGGCUUAUUCCCCAUAUUCCUACUGCAGGCUUUUUUCUCUCCUCUCACU